AUUGAACGCUGGCGGCAGGCUUAACACAUGCAAGUCGAGCGGGGGAAGGUAGCUUGCUACUGGACCUAGCGGCGGACGGGUGAGUAAUGCUUAGGAAUCUGCCUAUUAGUGGGGGACAACAUCUCGAAAGGGAUGCUAAUACCGCAUACGUCCUACGGGAGAAAGCAGGGGAUCUUCGGACCUCGCGCUAAUAGAUGAGCCUAAGUCGGAUUAGCUAAUUGGUGGGGUAAAGGCCUACCAAGGCGACGAUCUGUAGCGAGUUGGAGAGGAUGAUCCGCCACACUGGGACUGAGACACGGCCCAGACUCCUACGGGAGGCAGCAGUGGGGAAUAUUGGACAAUGGGGGGAACCCUGAUCCAGCCAUGCCGCGUGUGUGAAGAAGGCCUUAUGGUUGUAAAGCACUUUAAGCGAGGAGGAGGCUACUUUAGUUAAUACCUAGAGAUAGUGGACGUUACUCGCAGAAUAAGCACCGGCUAACUCUGUGCCAGCCGCCGCCGUAA
rnacentral:rRNA from 1 species